rnacentral:rRNA from 1 species
GACGAACGCUGGCGGCGUGCUUAACACAUGCAAGUCGAACGGUAAGGCCUUCGGGUACACGAGUGGCGAACGGGUGAGUAACACGUGGGUGAUCGUCCCUGCACUUUGGGAUAAGCCUGGGAAACUGGGUCUAAUACCGGCUAGGACUACGAACUGCAUGGUGUGUGGUGGAAAGCUUUUGCGGUGUGGGAUGGGGCCGCGGCCUAUCAGCUUGUUGGUGGGGUGAUGGCCUACCAAGGCGACGACGGGUAGCCGGCCUGGGAGGGUGUCCGGCCACACUGGGACUGGGAUACGGCCCAGACUCCUACGGGGGGCAGCAGUGGGGAAUAUUGCACAAUGGGCGCAAGCCUGAUGCAGCGACGCCGCGUGGGGGAUGACGGCCUUCGGGUUGUAAACCUCUUUCAGUACAGACGAAGCGCGAGUGACGGUAUGUGCAGAAGAAGGACCGGCCAACUACGUGCCAGCCGCCGCGUAA